UACCCUGUAGAACCGAAUGUGUG
rnacentral:ncRNA from 5 species